AAUAAAUAUAUAAAAAUAUGUCAUUUUAUCCAUAAUUACAGAGCUAUUUCCUCUUGUUUUAGUUUGAUCUAUUCAUGUACAGUGGAGCCCUAACGUCACAGACCACAAAAAUCCGGGAUUUAAAACAAUAAAAUAAAAAGAAGAAUUAAAUGUUUAAUAUCUUUAUUAUUUAAUAUUCACAAUUCUCCCCUAAUUUUAUGUCCCUAUGUUAACUGUCACUAUGCCUUGUACAAAAAAAAUCAGAUUUUUCACAUGUCUAAUCUCUUCUAUUGGCUUUGAUCUAAAAUGGGUCAUAGGUUUUUGCACAAACUUGUAGAAUUUAUGCCAGCUAAAGCUAACGCUGUUCUUAAAGCAGGAAAGAGAAAAACCGAAUGCUACAAAAUUCAUAGAAAUAUUUCCUAGAUUUUACUUUUCUAAGAAGAAUUUUACUUACUAACUUGUCAGUAAAAUAAUUUGUCAUAAAUUACUUUAUAUAUAAGAAAAGAUUGUAAAACAGAUGCAUUUUCACUAGCGCUCAGACUUUUACACGGGUUAACCCCAAAAUAAGAACUGAGAUUAUUAAACCAUUCAGAAGCUAUUAAGACCAGUUAAGACAGUGUUACUCAUUGCGCGGCUCGCAAGCCUCCUGCGGCUCGCCAAGCUUUAGUAUGCGGCUCGCAUGGCAGUAAAUAAUACGAUGAUAUGAUCAUGUGGUUAAAAUUUAUUUUUCAUUUAAAUAACAUUAAAAACAAUCAGGGAAGCAUAGAAAAACGAAUGUGCUCUAUUACAAAUAAUAAUAUAUAUUUAUAUAUAUUAUUUGACUAGUCACUGACUCACUGUGUUCUGGGCAAUAGCCAGUUUUUGGCGGCCUGCCAGAAGCUAGUUUGUGUUUCAUGCUAGAAAACAACUUGUGUUUACUGUACACACGGACUAAAAAAUGGAUCGAUUUCUUAUCAAACAAUCCCGCGCACAUGGGGAGUGCAUCAUCCGCAACUCGAGUAAUUAUUGUAUUGCAAUAUUGUGCAUUGUAUUUAAGCAGAUAAGCUAUUUAAGACUGAAUAACUUGGUAUACUUUGCGGUGAAAGUGGCUCUCCUAUUGACUUUGUCCUAUCAGUGUGGCUCACAUGAAAAAAAUAGUGAAGACCACUGAGUUAAGACAAACUAAUAUCAAGAGCAUUAUCAGAAUGAAACUUCCAAAUCCUUUCAAAGCUGAUCUUUAAGACCUGUAAACCUGUGUGUGGAAUGUGGCCUAGAAAACUAACUAGUUAUUAAUUCAUUUAAGACAAUAAGAAAUAAUCAUAACUCCAGAAACCUCCAGAAUUAUUGAAAGCAAAUAAUAUUUUGUAAUUAUUAAUAAGAUCAUAAAACAUAACAUUAAAAAUAACAUUACCACACAAAUUGUACAAAUGUAAAAACAGUCCUUAUGAACAUCUACCUAAAAUGUAAAAAUACAACUGAAUCAAUGAGUAGUUGCUUAGUUGAUAGAGAUGGGAUAAAAGUAAUAAAGAAAAAUGUGUAUGAAAAUGUAAUUUUUAAAAAAGUAAAUAAAUUCAUUAAUAAAAAAAAAUAAUUCAUUAUAAACAUAAUAAUUUUCACAUUUUAGUUAUUUAUUAAUAUAAUUUCUGAAACUUUUUUAAUACAUUUAUCUUAAAAAAUGGAGGCAAAAUCAUCACAUUUGUCAGUGGUGUCUGGAUUAAGAAAACAUCUGUUGAUAUCACAAACGUGUUUUGACUUUUGAAAUGAGGAAACGUAUUUACCCUUGAAGAACAGGACCGAGUCUGUGGUGCACUCUCCUUUUGGACACUCCACUGCUGCAUCCAGGUGACUGGGAACACCUGGGAACACCUGCUGGAUCUCCUUAGGGAAGCCUUUCUCCAGAGUGUGGUUGUAGUAACUGAAGACUUGGUCAUCC